GGAUUAGAUACCCUGGUAGUCCACACUGUAAACGCUGUCUACUAGCUGUGUGUGAAUUUAAUUCGUGCGUAGCGAAGCUAACGCGCUAAGUAGACCGCCUGGGGAGUACGGCCGCAAGGUUAAAACUCAAAUGAAUUGACGGGGGCCCGCACAAGCGGUGGAGCAUGUGGUUUAAUUCGAUGCAACGCGAAGAACCUUACCUACACUUGACAUGUUGAGAAGUUUUCAGAGAUGAAUUCGUGCCUUCGGGAACUCAAACACAGGUGCUGCAUGGCUGUCGUCAGCUCGUGCCG
rnacentral:rRNA from 1 species